rnacentral:tRNA from 1 species
GGUGCGAUACCCAAGCGGCCAAGGGGACGGUCUGCAAAACCGUUAUUCGCAGGUUCAAAUCCUGCUCGCACCU